CAGAGAGUCCUCUACUGGGAUGUCAUGCAUGAGAACUAUGAGACUGUGACCUCGCUGGGGUUUCUAGUUUUCCAACUUGAUGUGAUCUCCCAGCUGGAACAAGGGGAAGAGCCAUGCGUCCCAGACCUCCAAGGUUCAGAAGAAGAGAGAUCCUGAGAUCUCCCUGCACAGUAGGGUUUCCAAAUUCCAAACCUGAUGUGAUCUCGCAGCUGGAACGAGGGGAAG